rnacentral:rRNA from 1 species
GGGGAGUACGACCGCAAGGUUGAAACUCAAAGGAAUCGACGGGGGCCCGCACAAGCGGUGGAGCAUGUGGUUUAAUUCGAAGCAACGCGAAGAACCUUACCAGGUCUUGACAUCCCGGUGCCCGUCCUAGAGAUAGGAUUUUGCUUCGGCACACCGGUGACAGGUGGUGCAUGGUUGUCGUCAGCUCGUGUCGUGAGAUGUUGGGUUAAGUCCCGCAACGAGCGCAACCCUUAUUGUUAGUUGCCAUCAUUCAGUUGGGCACUCUAGCGAGACUGCCGGUAAUAAACCGGAGGAAGGUGGGGAUGACGUCAAAUCAUCAUGCCCCUUAUGACCUGGGCUACACACGUGCUACAAUGGCUGGUACAACGAGUCGCAAGUCGGUGACGGCAAGCUAAUCUCUUAAAGCCAGUCUCAGUUCGGAUUGUAGGCUGCAACUCGCCUACAUGAAGUCGGAAUCGCUAGUAAUCGCGGAUCAGCACGCCGCGGUGAAUACGUUCCCGGGCCUUGUACACACCGCCCGUCACACCACGAGAGUUUGUAACACCCGAAGUCGGUGAGGUAACCUUUAGGAGCCAGCCGCCUAAGGGCAAAAAGGGUG